GCCAGUAUGAUGGAUAUGACCCUCGGUUUGUAACCAAGUGGGUUCGGGUUCAAUCCCCGAGAAAGACA